rnacentral:rRNA from 1 species
UACAGAGGGGGCAAGCGUUAUUCGGAAUUAUUGGGCGUAAAGGGCGCGUAGGCGGCUUUGCAAGUGACGGGUGAAAACCCUCGGCUUAACCGAGGAACUGCCUGUCAAACUGCAUGGCUUGAGACCGGGAGAGGUGAGUGGAAUUCCCAGUGUAGCGGUGAAAUGCGUAGAUAUUGGGAGGAACACCAGUGGCGAAGGCGGCUAUCUGGACGGUUUCUGACGCUAAGACGCGAAAGCGUGGGGAGCAAACAGG